rnacentral:rRNA from 1 species
UACGUAGGGUGCGAGCGUUGUCCGGAAUUACUGGGCGUAAAGAGCUCGUAGGUGGUUUGUCGCGUUGUUCGUGAAAUCUCACGGCUUAACUGUGAGCGUGCGGGCGAUACGGGCAGACUAGAGUACUGCAGGGGAGACUGGAAUUCCUGGUGUAGCGGUGGAAUGCGCAGAUAUCAGGAGGAACACCGGUGGCGAAGGCGGGUCUCUGGGCAGUAACUGACGCUGAUGCACGAAAGCUAGGGGAGCAAACAGG